rnacentral:lncRNA from 1 species
AGGUUUUACAAGCACAGUACAUUUCCUUUCUACUGAGAAUGGAAUGUUGCAAUUGGCUGCCAUGGUAAAAAAAUGAAGUUAUCAAAGUCUAAGGUGAGAGUUGAAACUUGAAAUUACGAAAGGGUAAUGCCUUACUGAUUAUAUAGUAUUUUUAUUAGAACUUUACCCCAAUAUUGUACCAAUAUGGCUUUAUUCUUAAUGCAUAUACAUCCGAAGAAGGUGGGUAGGUAUUGCUUUGGCUCAACCCACUACGGAGCAACUUUACAAUCAACUCUAUGAAGAGUUGACUUCAUGGUGCCAACUGCCAAGUGCCAAGCAUGAGGGAUGGCAAAUUGGCAAAUAAGCAACACUCUAGAGUCUGGGGGACCAUAUUCUUGAAGGAAAAAAUGAUAACUACCUAACCUAAUCUUGCUGGUUUGGGGCUUGACAUAACAAGUUGGCAACUCGCUGGACUGGAGUUCAAGCUUAUCAAAAAGAGCUUGGGAGUUAGGGCCCUGCGGCUGUCUAUCACCCUUAAAGAUUGCCUAGAAAUCUAAGUGCGAGCUAUAAUUGGAGGCGCGCCUAACCCAAAACCACCAUAACAUGGCUCUUCAUGAGGGGGAAACAGCUUUUAAGCA